AAUAAGUGUAGUUUUACACUGUUCAUGUCCAACGUUUAACCGCUCGUCUUAUUUAUUUUUUUGUGAUUAGUAAUUUUAUUAUUAUUAUAUGAUAAAAUAUGACUAGUACUUUAUGUGUGACUAAUUUUUUUAAAAAAAUAUAUUUUUUUAAAAUAAGACGGACAGUCAAACGUUAUACACGAAUACACAUAGCUGUACUUGUU
rfam:Oryza sativa (indica cultivar-group) chromosome 1, whole genome shotgun sequence.